CCUUCUUCUUGUAGCUAAUGGUCAAUAGUUAGAAAGAACUUAGAAAAAAAUAAAUUGAAGGUGCUACCAAACUAAAAAAAAAUAUUCUAAUUCUAUUCAAAAUUUGGAACUGGUGCACCAUUCACAGCCAAUUUAAAAUGUACUUUUAAAACUAUCAAAAAGACAAAAGCAACAAAUACAAAAUAAACAACAAUUAACCAAAACAAAAACUCUUGUCACAGAUUGAUGAGAUUGGUGGAUUUAAUGUUCCAAAGUUCUUCAAUCAAAUGUGA